UGGAUGAGGACAGAGAUGAGGAGUAUGAUACUAGCAUGUAUCACUUUGGCGAGCAUGUAGCGCCAUCAAGAGAGAGUAAGAGCUUGGCUGAAGCUCACAGAAGCAGAAGUGGAACAAGAAGCAGGAUAAGAUCAUCUCCAAGUGUUUGAAAACUAUCAAGUCUCUGAAGGCUAUGAUAAGUUGCUCCUCCUCCAGCACAGCUAUGCCA
rnacentral:pre_miRNA from 1 species